GACGUAGGGGGCCAGCGUUGUUCGGAAUUACUGGGUGUAAAGGGCGCGUAGGCGGUCAGCACAGGUCAGUUGUGAAAUCUCCGGGCUUAACUCGGAAAGGUCAACUGAUACUGUGCGACUAGAGUGCAGAAGGGGCAACUGGAAUUCUCGGUGUAGCGGUGAAAUGCGUAGAUAUCGAGAGGAACACCUGCGGCGAAGGCGGGUUGCUGGGCUGACACUGACGCUGAUGCGCGAAAGCCAGGGGAGCGAACGGG
rnacentral:rRNA from 1 species